UACGUAGGGUUCGGGCGUUGUUCGGAAUCAUUGGGCGUAAAGCGCGUGUAGGCGGCUUGGCAAGUCGGUUGUGAAAUCCCGGGGCCCAACCCCGGAACUGCAAUCGAAACUGCCUCGCUAGCGUCCCGGAGAGGAAGGCGGAAUUCCCGGUGUAGAGGUGAAAUUCGUAGAGAGCGGGAGGAACACCAGUGGCGAAGGCGGCCUUCUGGACGGUGACUGACGCUGAGACGCGAAAGAGUGGGGAGCACACAGG
rnacentral:rRNA from 1 species